AGAGUUUGAUCCUGGCUCAGGAUGAACGCUAGCUACAGGCUUAACACAUGCAAGUCGAGGGGCAGCAUGGUCUUAGCUUGCUAAGGCCGAUGGCGACCGGCGCACGGGUGAGUAACACGUAUCCAACCUGCCGUCUACUCUUGGACAGCCUUCUGAAAGGAAGAUUAAUACAAGAUGGCAUCAUGAGUCCGCAUGUUCACAUGAUUAAAGGUAUUCCGGUAGACGAUGGGGAUGCGUUCCAUUAGAUAGUAGGCGGGGUAACGGCCCACCUAGUCUUCGAUGGAUAGGGGUUCUGAGAGGAAGGUCCCCCACAUUGGAACUGAGACACGGUCCAAACUCCUACGGGAGGCAGCAGUGAGGAAUAUUGGUCAAUGGGCGAGAGCCUGAACCAGCCAAGUAGCGUGAAGGAUGACUGCCCUAUGGGUUGUAAACUUCUUUUAUGAAGGAAUAAAGUCGGGUAUGGAUACCCGUUUGCAUGUACUUUAUGAAUAAGGAUCGGCUAACUCCGUGCCAGCAGCCGCGGUAAUACGGAGGAUCCGAGCGUUAUCCGGAUUUAUUGGGUUUAAAGGGAGCGUAGAUGGAUGUUUAAGUCAGUUGUGAAAGUUUGCGGCUCAACCGUAAAAUUGCAGUUGAUACUGGAUAUCUUGAGUGCAGUUGAGGCAGGCGGAAUUCGUGGUGUAGCGGUGAAAUGCUUAGAUAUCACGAAGAACUCCGAUUGCGAAGGCAGCCUGCUAAGCUGCAACUGACAUUGAGGCUCGAAAGUGUGGGUAUCAAACAGGAUUAGAUACCCUGGUAGUCCACACGGUAAACGAUGAAUACUCGCUGUUUGCGAUAUACUGCAAGCGGCCAAGCGAAAGCGUUAAGUAUUCCACCUGGGGAGUACGCCGGCAACGGUGAAACUCAAAGGAAUUGACGGGGGCCCGCACAAGCGGAGGAACAUGUGGUUUAAUUCGAAGCAACGCGAAGAACCUUACCAGGGCUUGACAUCCAACUAACGAAGCAGAGAUGCAUUAGGUGCCCUUCGGGGAAAGUUGAGACAGGUGGUGCAUGGUUGUCGUCAGCUCGUGUCGUGAGAUGUUGGGUUGAGUCCCGCAACGAGCGCAACCCUUGCUAUUAGUUGCUACGCAAGAGCACUCUAAUAGGACUGCCGUUGACAAAACGGAGGAAGGUGGGGACGACGUCAAAUCAUCAUGCCCCUUAUGACCUGGGCUACACACGUACUACAAUGGAUGUUAACAGAGGGAAGCAAGACAGCGAUGUGGAGCAAACCCCUAAAAACAUUCUCAGUUCAGAUUGCAGGCUGCAACCCGCCUGCAUGAAAAUGGAAUUGCUAGUAAUCGCGGAUCAGCAUGCCGCGGUGAAUACGUUCCCGGGCCUUGCACACACCGCCCGUCAAG
rnacentral:rRNA from 1 species